GUCUGCGGGAGGGCAGAGGGCAAGGUCAGGACCGGGGCUCCGCACAGCUAGGCACGCCUGCUCUCCUCCGCAGCGUCUGAGCUGUCCCCGUGAUGACAUCGCAUCGUUCUCUCUUUCCAGUGGCCCACCUGCUUUCUGCCUGAUCUUCCCAAGUCACCUCGGCCUGGGGACCCCCCCAGCCUGCUGCCAGGUCUGGUCCCCUCUACUCCACAGGCACUGCCUCCCUCCCAACAAGGGCGCCCAGGCCUGGAGCGUAACAGAUUCGCGGGUCUGCUCUGCACGUGCCAGCACAAGAGAGCUAUAAAUAGGGUCACCCCAGUCUGGGGAGAAAGAAGACACCUCCCAGACUGCCGGGUCACGAAGCUUCCAGGGGGCAAGAAUAAUGACGUAUCAGCUGGCUCCCAGGGAGAACGAACCACCCGUCAGGUGCAGGGCUGAGGGCGGGACCCGAGUCCGCUUGGGGAAGGACAGCAGCUCUCACCUCCGAGGGCUCACAGGGCUCGGCGCUGUGGGGCAUUUUAGGGACCUGGACCAACUCGGGCAAUGCCAAGUCUCGAUGUGGAGGACAAGACCUGCCCAGUGGCUCUGAGCCCAGUCCUCUCCCGUUGGGGCUGCAAGUAGAGCAGGCCUGGCUUUUCUGAGAGGGACAAAAGCAGAAGCCAACGAGGUGUCUGACCCGCCUGGGGGCCUAGGAGCUGACAGUGCUGGCUUGGGGGCCAGCGGGUGGGUAUGACCCACCCCAUUGGCAAGUCAACACGAGGCUACUGGACGUGCACAUGAAUGUGGAAAGGGCACCAGGUGGAUUCAAGAGAAGUUUAAGGGGACUUGGGGGCUGGAGGGACCAUUUCCUCACAGGCCCUUCCCACAUGUGACUGUCCCAAGCAACAAGCUGACCACAUAGAUGGAAUGUCACCAGCACAGGACACGGCGGAGAGACUCUGGGCUCCACCCCACUUGAGUGGGAAGAGACGCCGCUGAUGAGAGAUGGUAUAAAGCCGGGCGCACCUCCCGCCCCCCAGUCUCCCCGGUUACUACGAAUACAGUGCUUUCCCACUCCAACCCGCGCUCGCCUCUCUGCAAACUGCCCCAUGACCAACAGAGAACUCAAACUGACCUCGGCCGCCAAGUUCCAGGCUAGGAGGGUGUGUCCCGGCUCUUUAAUGACACCAUCUCCAGUGUGGUCAAAGGGACAAGUCCUGCCGAGGCCCAUCCAGACCCUAAGGAAUGGU